rnacentral:rRNA from 1 species
GGGUUGUGAGGUUAAGCGACUAAGCGUACACGGUGGAUGCCCUGGCAGUCAGAGGCGAUGAAGGGCGUGCUAAUCUGCGAUAAGCGCCGGUAAGGUGAUAUGAACCGUUAUAACCGGCGAUACCCGAAUGGGGAAACCCAGUGUGACUCGUCACACUAUCAUUAACUGAAUCCAUAGGUUAAUGAGGCGAACCGGGGGAACUGAAACAUCUAAGUACCCCGAGGAAAAGAAAUCAACCGAGAUUCCCCCAGUAGCGGCGAGCGAACGGGGAGGAGCCCAGAGCCUGAAUCAGCAUGUGUGUUAGUGGAAGCGUCUGGAAAGGCGCGCGAUACAGGGUGACAGCCCCGUACACAAAAGCGCAUGUGCUGUGAGCUCGAUGAGUAGGGCGGGACACGUGGUAUCCUGUCUGAAUAUGGGGGGACCAUCCUCCAAGGCUAAAUACUCCUGACUGACCGAUAGUGAACCAGUACCGUGAGGGAAAGGCGAAAAGAACCCCGGCGAGGGGAGUGAAAAAGAACCUGAAACCGUGUACGUACAAGCAGUGGGAGCCCCACCACCAAAGCAUUCUCUGGUGUUGAAGGCCCUGCAAAGCAGCAUCGCGGUGGCGGAGCGUCGUUUGCGACGCCCAACACACAAAACAAGCGGUGAGUGCU